rnacentral:lncRNA from 1 species
GAGAAUAUUGGUAGGGGUGGGGAUUCUCUUACAGUGUCAGACUUCAGGGACAAACCUGAACUGAGUAGAACUAAGAGUACUAUUUCAAAGGGGAAGAAGAAAAGAAAAGAAAAGAAAUUCUUUCUAAGGCAGAUGCUGCUGGCGUGACCUCUGAUCUUUAUGGGGCAUACAAGAACCCUGAAGAAAAGAAGGGUAUUGAAAACACUGAAAGUAUUAUGACCAGUAUAAUUUCAAGGCAGGUAGCUGCUGAUGCUCCUCAGCAAGUUGCUGUAGGGAGAGAGAAAGAUGCACCGGUUAAAGCUGCGCCAGAUGAUUGGGAAGACGCUGCUGACAUCUAUACCCCGAAACUGGAAACCUCAGAUACUGGAGAGCAAGUCCGUGGAGUGGAUGAUUCUGACAAAGAUGGACAUGAACAUGGAGUGAAGAAAUAUUCCAGAGAUUUCCUUUUGAAGUUUUCUAACCAAUUUGCUGAGCUUGCAGAAGAUUUUGAUAUUAUGUCUCUUAUAGCAGAGAUCUUGAAUGCUAGUGUGAAUGCUGCUCCUGCUACUGCUUCAGUUAAAAAAAAGGUUUCAACUGAAACUGAGGGUACAUGUGAGGAGAACAUUGGUGGUGGUGGGGAUGCUCUUACAGUGUCAGACUUCAGGGACAAACCUGAACUGAGUAGAACUAAGAGUACUAUUUCAAAGGGGAAGAAGAAAAGAAAAGAAAUUCUUAAGAAAAGAAAAGAAAUUCUUUCUAAGGCAGAUGCUGCUGGCGUGAUCUCUGCUCCUGCUACUGCUUAUGUUGAAAAACAGGUUUCAAAUCUUUUGUCCUCUUCUUCAGUUGCUCCAACUGAGGAGUCUGUACCAGUUGUGACCACCACUGAACCAGAAGAAUUAUUGACAGGCAAAAAGGAGCUGCAAGACUUGACCGUCGCGGGAGAGGAAUGAUGGAUGAUGAUAGAUGGAAUAAGGGAGGUGCUACCAAUUUCCGAACUAGCCAAGGACCAAAUUUUGGUGUUUUGAGGAAUCCGCGUGCACCGACACCAGUUCAGCAGGGAGGGAUGCAAAGAAAUAAUUCUGAUGCCAACAGGUGGCAGAGAGAUACGAAUUUUCAACCUAAGGGCUUGAUGGCUUCUCCUCAUGCUCCAUUACAGGUGAUGCACAAAGCUGACAGGAAGUAUGAAAUGGGUAAAGUGAGUGAUGAAGAGUAGGCCAAGCAAAAGCAGUUAAAGGCUAUACUGAACAAGUUAACUCCUCAAAAUUUUGAAAAACCAUUCGAGCAAGUGAAAGCUGUUAAUGUAGAUAAUGCAACGACUCUAACCGGUAUCAUUUCACAGAUGUUUGACAAGGCUCUUAUGGAGCCUACUUUCUGUGAGAUGAUUGCUAACUUCUGUUGUUCUUAUGCCUUAGUGUUGCCUGAUUUCAGUGAAGAAAAUGAAAAGAUAACUUUUAAAAGAUUGCUUUUGAACAAGUGCCAGGAGGAAUUUGAGAGGGGAGGAAGAGAGCAAGAGGAGACCAAUAAGGCCGAUGAGGAGGGUCGGGUGAAACAGUCUGAAGAAGAAAGAGAGGAGAAAAGAAUCAAAGCGCGAAGACGAAGGUUGGGUAAUAUUAGCUUGAUUGGGGAGCUAUACAAAAAGAGAAUGUUGACCGAGAGAGUAAUGCACGAAUGCAUUAAAAAGUUGUUUGGUCAGCAACAGACUCCAGUUGAGCAAAAUAUUGAAGCUUUGUGCAAACUAAUGAGCACCAUUGGGGAGAUGAUUGAUCAUCCGAAUGCCAAGGAGUACAUGGAUGCAUAUUUUGAAAGGAUGAAAAGCUUGUCGAAUAACAUGAAAUUAUCUUCUAGUGUUAGGUUCAUGUUGAAUGAUGCAAUUGAUUUGAGAAAGAAUAAAUGGCAGCAGAGGAGGAAAGUUGAAGGAUGAAUAAAGAUUGAGGAAGUGCACAGAGAUGCUGCACAAGAACGACAAGCACAGUCUAGUAGGCUGGUCUGUGGUCCUAGAAUCAAUCCAUCAGCUAGAAGGGGGCCUCCUAGUCCAAGAGGAUCGACUAUGUUCUCUUCACCUAAUGUUCGUAGUUUCGAUAGAACUCUUCCAACUUCACCACCCACACUUGCAUAUGGAGCAGGUUUAACACAAAAUGUUCCUUCAGAAAAUGUGUUGACUGAAGACCGUCUUAGGGAUAUGUCUUUGGCAGCAAUUAGAGAAUUUUACAGGUAUAUUUUUAUUUUUGAGAGAGCAGUCAUUUCUCAUUACAUUUGUCAUGCAUGCUUUAGACUGUUCUAAUUAAUUUUUGUUAUCUUUUAGUUCAAUGCAUCUUUCAGAUGUGAUCAUUCUCUGCGUGCUAAAAAAAUCUGCCUAUGAUUUGCUUAAUGUGAUUAUCCGUUCAAUUCUUGAAAGGAAAGUUGGGCAUGUGUGUUCUGUGCCUGGGGAAUGAAUAGGACUUGGGCGCAAUGGUUGGUCAUCUUCCAGAUCCUCUCAAAUCACGGAUUCUAGAGAAAUUUAUUUAGAGAUUAGUGAUGCUCAUUGUAAUCGUGCUAGAAGAAAUUCAUUACUGGUAGCGUUCAAAAACUCAUAAUUAUAUGCCUGCAAUGAAGAACUUUUGUACUGUAACUAUGAUUACAAUAUCCAUAACAUCGUGUAUGUAUUCUAUUAUAUCCCAAAAAAAAUGUAACUAUGCUGCAAUUCAUAUGUAUUUGUAAAUUAUUAGGACCUCAGAACUUUGCAUUUUCUUUUUGUAUUUAUUCCGAGUGAAGUGUAUUUUUUAUUUUAUCUUCCUCCCAUCCCUUCAAUGAAUAUUUUGUUUGUGUUGCGAGAGAAAAGUAACGAGUUAAUUGUAUAGAUCUAUCUAUGGAAUUGAUGAUUUGAUACUCUUACCUUUUUUAACGAUAUGUACAACGAUAAAUUUGCACUAAAUGAAAUGAUGAAGGGUAAAUUUGUACUCUAAAUUAAAUUAAAUUAUAAGAUGAUUGAAACUCAAGUGACAUACGUAUUACAUGUGUAAUUUUGAUGAUUAAACUUGGGUCAACAAUUGCUUGCAAGAGCCUAAAACAAAAACAAAUCCAACUGCCGGAUGCUUUUUUCUAGUUUAUUUUUUUGGUUCCAGUUAAUGGACAUUAAUUAAUCAGAGUAAGUACGCAAUGAUUCUGCUAUGGUACAAUUUUCGUUAAGUAGAGGGGUUUGUUUGACAAAAAUAAUCUUUAAAAGGUGGUAACGUGAUCGUUUACGUGACAAUUUAACAAAUAUAUUGACAAAUUUAUCAUGGAAUGAUUAAAAUGAUUUACGGUAGACAAUGAUGUAGGACAAGAUUGUGGUGAAUUUUCAUGAAGAAAAAGUAAAGAAAAUGAGAGCUCUAUAAAACUGACAAGGAAUGAUGCAUUAGAGAAAAUCUCCACUCAAAUACCAAAUAUGGCGUUAAAAUAGGAAGAAUAUUGUGUUGGGAUUUUUUGGUUGCUUGAGAAAUGGACUGAAGGAAGACAAAAGGACGUGGCGGGAAUUUAUAUAUUUAGCGCUCAAGCUUCGUUUUGAGCCCAAGAUACAUUUUUGAAAAGAGCGUGACAUCCCAGUUCAAACUCACUAUUUUGUUGCAAUGUUAUGAUGAAUUUUAGUGUUCUAAAAAUCGUAGGCGCUGGGCGGUGGCUGACCGAGGGGAUUAAUGCAAAAUCGGGAGCAAAAUCGGGAUAGGGAUUAGGCGGCCCUUGGGCGGCCUAGGUAGGCGACUGAGUGGCCUAGGCGGUCUAGGAAUUUCAGUUUUGUUAUGUUUUCAAGAAUGCAGAUCAGCUGCAUUUUUUUUUUUUUUUUUGCCUUUCUGGGUUUCUUCUGGUUCUCGGUUUGGCAAAGAGGAAAAGAGGAAGACGAUGACAUUCUCUCUCUUCCUUUCACACCAUGUGACCAAGCUACAUACUUUUCUUAUUUAAUUUUUUUUUCUUAGUUUCUCUCCAAUCAAAUUUGGACAGCUAGCAUCAAAUUGCUUGCUUUUUGUAAAAAGCCAUAGGCUGUCAGUUCUAGCACAUUGAUUUUUCUCCAGAGGUGGAUUGUCUGCCCUCCCAUUUCCAUACUCUUCCCAUCCCUUCCUGUUUGUGUGGUCACGGUUAAGCGAUGUCAAUAUUUUAUAUUCUUAUUACUUUUUGUUUUAUUAUUUUUAUAAAAAAAUCAAUAUAAAAUGUUGAAGUGGCUUAACCGUGACUACACAAACAGGAGAGGAUUGGAAGAGUAUGGAAAUGGGAAGGCAGACAAUCCACCUCUUUUUUCUCCUAAAAAAUGAUAGGGUGUCAGGUUGAAGAUGUCAUUGUCAUUAAGUUUUGGUGCAGAGUUCCCAUCUUUAUGCGUCCUAGUGUGUCCUUUCCACAUCCACAUAUUGAACACCUUUAUUUCUCUUUAACUUCAACAUAAAUUAAUAUGAUCUCUAAAAAAUAUUAUUAUGAACCACCCAUAUUGACAUCAUAAUUUUCUCUUUAUUAUGAACCAUCCAACCCAAUACAUGGGAUUAUUACUUUUAUUUUAAAAAAAUUAGAUAUGAAUUAUAAUCAUUCAAAAUGUCUUAAGUUAUAUGGCAUAUAUGCUUAAUGUGUUUUUAAACUUUGAAUUUGUUAGAUACUUUUUUUUUUUGUAUUUUAUCAUUCUUUUAUUAUCUUAUCCAUGAAUUUCAUACAAGUAUAAUUUUUUGUAAGUGUUAAUAUACACUUAUUUACAAGAUAUACAAAAAAUUUACUUAAAUCCGUCUAGGCCGCCUAGCCCCCGCCUAACCGCCUAGAAGCUAGGCGCCAACCCGCCGCCCGACUAGUGCCUAGCAUUUUUUAGAAUCUUGAAUUUUAGUCAUCCAAGGUUGUUUAGAAGUCCAAAACAGCAAAAUAAACUUGUAAUCAAUUUUGAACUUUUUAAUUUCUGUUGGAAUUCAUGUCAUUUUAAUUCCCUAAGACCCUUGAGCUUCCCUAGGGUUGUGUUUAUGUCUUUAAGCUAUUGGGCUUCCAAUGUAAUUCAUCAAUUUCAAAAUUAAUCAAACACCCUUUUCAGUUUUCUCUCAAAAUCUAAUGGACUCAAGAAUCCUUUGUUUUUCAAGAUUUACGUUUGUAAUCAUUCACGCUCGUGAUGCGUCAAUUAGUAUCAAAGCAGGGAUUUAUCAUGUUCUUUGGCAAUCGAUUAUGGGAGAAGCAAAACCCUAAGCGGCGUUGUUCGUAAGGGAAUGGCAAUAGAUGCGGUGUGCGCAAAAAGAAUAGCCCCGAGCCACCCUCAUCUAGUUGAUGUUGAAGAUAUUCCUAUUUUCUUGGGAAGUGAUUGCAUUAAAGGUUUUCUCUUGUGGGUUGAGGAUGUAGAGAAACUUUUCAAGAUACAACCAAUUCCAGAAAGGAAGAUAGUGAAGAUCAAUCGUUGCUUCUUGUUUAGAUGGUGAUGUGCAUUUAUGGUGGGAUCAAAUGCAAGAGUCUAGGCGAAAACAAGGUAAAAUCCUAUCACUUGGCAUUGGUUGAAGUGACUAAUUGUUAAACAAUUUCUUUUUUUUUUUAUUUAUUUAUACAAAUUGUAUUUGGCAAGUAUGGGUCAAGCAAUCAUUAGAAAAGAAGCUAAAGUGAUGGAGAAUGAUAUUUCAUUAUGCCAAGAAACGGUGGAGGUCAAGGUGGAAAUAAUGAAUGAGUAAUUUUGCUGAUUGAGAAUCUUGUUGAAGAAGAUCUCCUAAAACAUGACAACUCACAAGUGCAGACUCAAGAAAUUCAAGGUAUGGGUGAUUAUGAAUUGCUAUGAUUUUUGGAGAAUCAUCAAUCUACUAAAUAGGGGUUAAAUUCCAUUGUUGACCAAACAACAAAAUUGGGGAAGGAAAAUAUUUUGAUUAUCGAUGGCAUAGUUCAAUCUUGUUUAUGGAAUUAAUUUAAUGAUUAUUUCACCUACUUUCACUGAAAGUUGGGCUUCUUGAGUUGAACUUUCAGUGCUUCUCAAGUCGAAGAAUUUAUUUGCUUAACAAGGUUGCCAACUAGCUAUCAAGAUCGUUUUAAGAAGAACUCGAGGUUGAGUUCUUUAUCAGUGGAUGAGUCUGAUAUAAACAAGAUAUGAGUCAAUUCUGACGAAGAAAGAUAAAGAAAAUAAAAUGUUUCAAAUUCUGAAAAAGAAUAAUUAAAGUUGGGAAAUAUUGGAUUUAAUUGAUAUGGUGACAUAAAAGGCAAUAAGAAGUAUUUUGGUAUUGGAAUUAGGCGUAUGAUAUAUCGUUUUGAAUAGAAUCGCGAGCAGAACAAGAGUCAUGGUCAUCCCAUGAGCCCAUCGUGUUUAAGGUCAUCCAAGGUCAUUUUAGACUCCCAAACCAGCAUUUUAAAGUUUGUAAUAAAAAUUGGACUUUUGGUUUUUCGUUCAAUUUAUGUCAUUUUAAUUUUCCUAAGACUUCUGAGCUUUCCCAAGGCGAAGUUAAGUUUAUUUAAGCCUUUCGGCUUCUAUGUAAUCAUCAUUGAAGAAUUAAACAAUAAACCUUUGAAAUUUUCUCUCUAAACUUGUGGAUUCCAGCUUUCUGAUUUUUGGGUUUACCUUUUAAUCCCAUUUACUACGUUCGUGCAGUGUCAAUUGGUAUCAGAGUAGAAACUUGCCCUGUUCUAAUGGCAAUCAAUGGUGAUACAAACCUUUGUUCAACAUUGAUUGUGGGGAGGAGGCUAUUUAUGUAAUACCAAAGAUCUUCUAUGGUGAUUGCAGAUAGUAUUUUGUUGAUGGGGAAUGCGAUGGAGAAUUUUCCUUAAGCCAAACUCGUCAACUUGAUGUUGGGAAUGAAUUGAAAUGCAAUGAAAGAUGAUGUGAGGACUUGCAAUGAUGGAGUUGUACAACUAUUUUGCUAAAUAUGGAUGAGCAACAUGGAAUGUGAGUUCACAUGCUUUUAUACUCAAGACCAAUUUUUGAAAAGUUGAUUGGCCAACCUAUAUUUGGGACCAUGAUUUUCUGAGCCCAUGACACAUUUAAGAUAGACCGGAAUGCCUCAGCCCUGUUGACCCUAAAAACUAUCAAGCCUAUGUGGCACGUAGGCCGAGUAAUUAAUGAGCUAACUACGUCAUUCGGUUGUAUGCGGGCGUGCCAAUUCGUCGGCCGAUGCGUUGGGUGCGCUGCUGACUUCUCGAUCUUGCGAUUACGGUCGAGGAAGGAACAUGUCUCGGCCUUCGGGUUCUAGAGCCUGAAGACAAGGCUGCUAGUUCUGUGAAGUUCAAUAUCAAAAUCGGCUCUUAGGAUGCCGAAUGUAGUAACCUGGUAACACCUCACUUCAUCGAGAAGGCUAAUGAGGUGACCUCUGCCAAUAAGGAUUUGAAAAUCCUUCUCAACCAAGACUUGGAUAGAUAACCAGUCAGCCUCGUCGCAGUGUUGUUUAUCCAAACUGAAGGUGUUUCGCAGUCGGCUGAUUCUACGGCAACAGUGCUGUUUAUCCAAACUGAAGAUGUGUUAGCGAAAAAGAAAAUAAAAAAAAUCUCAAAGUUGUUGAGAGGUUUGAGCAAAGCAAUUUGUGUGUUGAGUUGGAGAGGGCUUGAAUGAUGCACUCAUUCCUCUAUUUAUAGAACUAACUUAGCGCAAAAUCCAGUCGUGACCAUCAAUCACCACAAAUAAUAAUAGUUUUGUAGAGAUGAUUAUCCAAUGAGAGCCGUGGCACUCAACGUAUUUGGUGCUAACCACGCAUUGGCUUACUGCACGGAAUUAAUCUUUCAAGUUAGACCUCCACCUUGGUUACCAACUGGUGCCACCACAUGCUAGGACUAUUCUCAUAAUGCAUGAUGCUCAAUCCCCAGGUUGAAUGCUAAGAACCCCAAAUUAAAUUGAACUAUUAUGCUUGCUUUGAUAUAGUUUGCUUCACAUUUAUCUCGUAUAAGAAAAGUGUCAAGAUAAUUCAUUAUUAAAAGAUAAUUAUCAUGAUUAAAAAUCAUAAUAUUAUCCCCUAACAACAACAAAAUUAUCUUAACCUUCCUAUCCGAUGAUGUGGAGCUAUGCUCACUCAACGGUCUUGAUUGCACUGCCGAUUGUGUAAUUUUGGGUCCAAACAAGCCCAUAAAGCACAAUCCAACAUGCUAGGCUUAAGGCCUAUUAGAGAUAUUACUUUUCUCCCAAGUAGGAAACCCUAAUUUAAGUCAAAUUAGGAUAGUUGGGGAUUAUGCAAUGUAAUCAUGAUUCUAGAUGGAUUUGGUAACUUAUCCAAGAUUUCCUCCUAGAUAGACUCCCGAUUUGAUGAAGAUUACUUUACCUACAAGGACUCUCAAGAUCCCUAUAAAUACUCAAGCCUGGGUAUUCAUCAGGGAGACAUGAAUCUCUCUCUUUCGGACCAUUGAUGGAUUCAUCUUCUCUAGCAUUCAUAUUCUCUCUACGCUUAACAGAGGCUUCCACCCCACUACCAUAGGCUACUCGUCAUGGAUGGUUCACACCAUUCUUUCUUAGGACUACACCCGCGGUUUGAUUCUCCUUCCCGGAGAUAUCUAGGCAGUAAUAAUUGGGUUCAACCACACCUCAUCCCCCAAUCAACACUAUUCUCCCCUCGUUGGAGAUCAUGGGCAAGUCCGACUUGAUUUUGCCUCCGUUGUUGAAUGUGCACAAAUUUGGUUCCAACAAUUGAUGCUCUCGUUGAUAGAGAACUCAUAUUUCCCCAACCAACGUCCUUUGCCAUGAGUAAUGACGAAAGCCGAAAGAUCCUGGAAAAAAAGAACUUUGACUGAUGUUCCAGAGACAACCAUGAAAUCCCAAAAGUCAAUAGGAAGAUUAAUCUUUCAGGAAGGAAAUUGCCAAAAAGUUACAAUGUCCUCCAAACAUAAUAAGGGAAGGACAUCCUACAUGACAUGCACAUUUUGAUUAAUUUUAGAGAGGUGUAUUCAAUUGGGAAUUUGAGAGAUUUAAAUGGAUUUAUAAAUCCAUGAAUUUUUAUGGAGUUUAAUUGAUUUGUAGAGAUUCCAUGUAAAAUUUGGAUUCAAUUCCCUUGAAAUCUCGUGGGAGAGAGGUGAGAUUUGUAGAUGCUUAAAAUACAUUACGAAAUCUCUCCAAUUCCUUCUAAUUCCUCAACUUUUUCAAAAUCUUUUUGUUUUUUGUUUUAUGUUUUUUUUUUUUUUUGAAACAAAUGAGAGAAGAUAGGGUGAGCUUAGCCUUAAAAUAGGUUAAUGCAGUUCAAAUUCGCAUUGGCGAUAAUCGAACCUAAGUCUUCUCACUUACAAGCGAAGAGAAAUACCACUAGACUGUAAUACUCAAUGGAAAAAUUAAAUUCUAAAAUACACGUAGAAUGUUAUAAACUUCUUUAAAGUCCUAAUUGAAUACACCCAAAUUUCUAAGGAUUUUAAUAUAUUAUCUUAAAAUCAUAAUUGAAGACACGUUGAAUUUCAUAGAAUCACUUAAAUUCAUGAUUGAAACACCUAGAUUCAUUAAAUGAAUUAAAAUCCCUCAAAAUUCCAAUCGAAUACACUCAUUUAAAUGCCUUGUGCUAUUUUUUAUUUUAUAAGAAUUGAACAUAAUCUUAGGUAGAACCAUGAUGAUCGACUAAAUUCACUCUUUCGUAUUUCCCUUUUUUUUUCCUUUUUUUUUACUGCAAGGAGAAUCAUCAAUAGUUUUGUGAGUCAUUGUACAACCAAGCCUGGUAAUUGAGAGAACUAUAUCGACUCCAAUUCAGAAUGAAGUCCAUGCCAGUCACGGAGACGAACAGAAAAAGGAGACAUCGAAUCAAUCCCUACCAAAUCAAAUUGCUCCGUCUGUAGGAACAUCGCCAACCCUAUAAUCCUCGACGCCCAUUCGUAGGCAACUCGCCAUUCAACCUGCAAGCUCAACCCAACUUGGAACAGUAACGUUUGACGGAUUUAGGUGCACUCCCCACUCUGCCGAACCCUCGAUCAACAUCAUCGACUCUGUUACGACACACUGGAUCUGCACUAUCCGUUUCGUAAUCCACCUCAUCUUCUCAGACCAAUGCGGAUUGUUCAAUCUGCAGUGCUUGGUUGACCCGUGUGCUCUGCUUUAGUGACGUCAUUCGCAGAACUCAUGGCUUACAUCAUAAACUAGAACAUGCCACUCUCACCAGACCCGCAACGGAAAUCUAGAAAAUGACGCUUGCUCGACCAAUCUGACUAUUGUGAGGCAAGUUCGAUUUGCAACAACCUUGGCUUUGCACAGUAAUUUUGAAAAUUGUUAUUUGAAUAAAAUGGUAAGGAAAGACAACUCAAAAGAACGACAUCUUUCUCCUUGUUCAGAUCCCAAUUCAAUAUGUGUGGAUCACCACCUCUUUCUCUUAAAAUGCUAAUUGGAUGAGGAAGAAGUCCCAACACAAGAAGAAGAAUAAAAUCUUUGGCAAACGGAUAGGAUUGGCUUUCCCAAUCUUAAGCGACCAAGUCACAUGUCUUUCUCGUUGAUUGUGGGAUCCAUUGAGUGUCGCAUGGGCUUGACAUACAACAAAAGCCAUAUUGUGAAGGCACCUGCUCUGUGGUGCACAAUAACAAGUAAUAAGCUUGGGAAAGUGAGUAGCUUCGACUCCGACAACGACAUAACCAUUUCGACAAGCAUAGCAGAGUCUCAAUGUGAAAUCCCGUCCCCAGAUUUCACUAUUUAAAUUACGUAUUUUUGUAUUAUUAAUUUCAAGAUUUAUUUUUAAAGAAUUUUAUAUAUAGUUGGCAACCAUGCAUAAAUCUUUUAUUUAGAAAAAAAAAAUUGAAGCUACCUGAUGGCAGCGAAGGAGAAGGGGGGAGGAGAGUUUCAAGAGGGAAGAAAGGAGAGAGGUGGUCGAAUGGGGAGAGGAGAGAGGAAGGAUGGUAACCAAUAGAGAGUGAAAGCAAGGAGGAAAGGGAGAAAAGGGAGGAACACAGGAUCCCGAAGGAUCCGGUUCUAACCCGUCGGCCAACCCGAUUUGGUUAGCCAAUUUCGACGAUUUUCACCCCUUUUUCGGCGAAUUAGACCAAUCCACCGCUCCAGAUCAUUAUCUUGACCCUUCCUCUACCAUUCCCACACAAAAUUCGGGGAGAUUAGGUUUGAAAUUGUGGAUAUUUGCACCGGUGGGUGCAACGGGCUUCGGGGCGGCAAUCUAUCAAAUUCAAAGGUAACUCCGUCAGCCAACACCACCAAAAUACUCCCCUCAACCUCAAGAACAAAGCCCAAGUAGUGGUGGAGGUGUCAGAGUAAGUAUGGAGGUCGAAUCGGAGCACACCCAAUCCUAGGGUUCCAGCGAUUCGUGGGUGAUUUCAAGUGUUUCCCGGCUGAAUUGGACUCUAGCCCAGGUAUGAAAUUACUCCCCUAACUGAGAUCUAGUUGUUUAUAAAAUUUGGUAAUUUUUGGAAUUAGUUGAAUUUUCCAGCAAGUCGGGGCGGCCGACCGCCAACCGCGGCGGCGCGUGGAUAGUGGGCCGAUGAUAUCUUCUAAGUUCAAUUAGAUGCCCUGAUUUCAUAAUUGAUAUCUGUAGGACACGGUUUGAUAGUUUGAACUUAGUUUCAUUACGAUACAUCACUAGAACAAAAUUUGAAUCAAUGAUCCGACCGUUGAAUCAUCACCACAAUUUGAUACAUUAUAGUAAGUAAUAUUUGAGGACAAUAGGAACUUACGGAUUGGGAAUCCGACGUAUGGAUCUUCCCGAAUUAGACCUGUAAGUUUGUAAAAUAAAAUGUCGACCGCCACUUAAAUUUGUGAUUGGCGGAGAUAUGACCAUCGUAUCGUAGUGAGACUUUAGUAUAUUAUUCUAGAAGUAUAAUUUUGACUUUGGGAAGUUAUGGAUCGAAAAUCUGAUGUACGUAUCUUCCGGAUCGAAUUACGUAGGGUUGUGGACCUUAUCGUUGACCAAGAAUUGACUUUUGGUCAAUAUGUCUCGAAGCGUUUUCAAUACUAAAUUUAAUACCAUGGGAUACUAAGUGAAGUCUAAUGUGACCACAUUGGUUAGAGAGUGACUUGAAAAUAUGGGAUAUAGUUAUUACCUUGAUUUCUUAUAUUAAGAUCAUUUGUGAAUAUGAUUUGGGUUAUAAAUGAAAUUUCUAAUGAAAUGUGAGUAUUAUAUAUAUAUAGAUAUAUAUAUGCGCCAUAGACCCAUGUUUAUUGAAUGUGAAUUCUAUUGAAGUGUUAUUUUUAUUUCUGGCCAUCGAUUUAUUUUCAUUAAGUAUGAUUUGACUUGUGCUUCGGAAAUAUGGUUUGUAUUGUAUGAUUGGAUUGAUGUGAUGAAAUGUGAGGGCUAAUAGUGGACCGUUAAACUAUUGUCAUGAGGUUUGUUACUUAAACACUUGUUUCACAUCUUGUUUCCUUAUUUCACUUUUUGUGUCAUUAAGCCCUUCUAAAUUAAGUACUUGGUUCUUGUAUUGUUUCUUCAAGCUGUUGUUGUAUCCCUUGAUUUUCCACUCGAUUCACUGAUGGUCCGGAAUCCCUUCGAUUUUACGAUUCCGUUGAGUAAUGGUCCGGAAUUGUACCCUGGCUCGGAUUCCGUUGAGUGAUGGUUUGGAAUCCCUUCUAUUCUGCGAUUCCGUUGAGUGAUGGUCCAGAAUCGAUCCAGCUUGUAUUCCAUUGGGUGGUUCUAUAUGCAUGGUACUCCCCGAUUCCAUUGAGUGAUGGUCCGGAAUCCCUUCUACUCCGCGAUUCCGUUGAGUGAUGGUCUGAAAUCGUAUCCUGAGUUUGAUUUCGUUGAGUGGUUCGGAAUCCCUCUGGUGACUUGAUUCCUAGGAUAUGAUUUCAGCUUCAAAGAUGUAGGCUUCAGCCGAACUGUGUCGCCCUAGCCCUGCAUGUCAGUGUGUUGUAUGGGUUAUUAUGUGGUGUAAUUAUUGGAUGUUGUUGGAUGUAAUUGUUAUGAUUAUGAUAUACCGUUGACCAAUAUGGCUAUAGAUUAUUAUUGCGCCUCGUCGAUUGUUCCUUGAUAUGUUGCACGCUCUGAAUUGUGCAUUAUGUUGAAAUAUGAUAGUUUAUGUGAUGAAUAUUCGAGUGUAGUGAAAAGUUGAACUACGAAUGGCUUGAUCCCUAUUGAGGGUACGUAGGCAGUCUAACGAAGAGGUUAGAUGCAGCCAUAAAGUAUACGCAAAAUUAUUAUGCAUCUGAAUCUUAAAUUAUAUUUUGUGCAUAUCCAAAAGGUGGGGUAUGUUGAGUUACGAGCAUUUAGGGACAUCACGUGUCGAUUUUGGACAUAUGUCGGGAUCAGGGUGUGACACUAAAAAUGGAAAGAAAUUCAUUGGUGGCAAGCCACUCCUAAAAGAAAGUAUAAGUUCAACUUUGAAACUAAGUUUCAAGUUCCAUCAAAGUUCCAAACUCAAAUAUGAACCGUGAUAGUUAUACAACAUAGCGCAGUGAUCUUGCUACAACACAAAGAAUUACAAAAAAAGAAGUCUCAUUUCUCUACCAUUAUUAUUACUCAAUUUUCAAUUACCCUCGCUUAACUUUUUUUGUUUGAGCUAGGACUAAUUAGAUUAUUGGUGUAUUUUUGUUCACCAUUCACCUUGUGAUUCCAAGAUGUGAUAUUCCUAGAAUUUAGAGAAAAGCAUGUCCAUACAAAUUCGCACAAAACGAACUUGGUUCACUAAAGCUUGCAAGUAGGAAGCAAAGACAGGUUUGACCCUAUGCAAACCAACACCUCAUCACAAGUCUGACUUGUAAACCUCUCGACUAAAGUCAACAUGUAACUCAGUUUGAGUCCAUCAACACUCCAACUGGGGCAAGUGCUCGCAAAGCUCUAGGGUAAUGUAAUCGUGCCUGAAACCAAUUUUGCGCACUUGAAUGAUUUUUAAUGGAAAGUUGAUUUCCUAGAUGAAUUUCAAUAUAAUGCCAAUUGGAGACUUGGAGACUAAAGCUAAGACAUUGAAGAUUGUUGUAAUAAAAUUUCAUAAUUUUCUACAAAGCCAAUCUUCCAGGUUUUGGAACAAAGAUGGUCGAAGCUACAUUCCGGUAAGAACUGCACAGCUAUGGGAAAACGAAGAUUUCAAAGCCUUCCCGAUUUUUUCUAGUAACAUGCCAUAUAUUCCUUAAAAGAUCUUAAAUAGAGCUAUAAUUUUCCACUAAGACAUAACGGUAUCAAAUAUGGCAUGCAAAACAGCUGAAUAGUAGGCUAACCCAACCAGCACAUCGUAGCAGCAUGGCUAGCUUGCCAGGUUAAACUAUACAUGCUAAAAAAAACUGAGUUUUAUGCAAUAUAUCGUCCCGAAGAUAUGGAUGUAAGCUUUCUAUAGAAUAUUGUAGAAAUCAAUUUUGAGCUACGUGGAAGUCAUUAUCACAUUUUUACCACCCAUAACACAAGUUGGAAUUCUUUGCGAGAUUUUCUAAGUUAUUCCUCCAAACUCAUAUCAAACGAGGUACAACAUGCCGCAAUAACGUAUGAGUUCUGGAUGCACACAGUCAUCAACGGCUAACCUAAGGGUUCCAACUAAUACAAGUCAGCUCCAAUGAGCUAAAAACAAAAAUCAUCCACAAAGCACUGCUUGAUAACUCUACACUUGUCCUCCUAUACUACUAGCUCGUAAUGGAAAAUGACAAUGGGCAUACUAGAGUAAGAAGAAAAAAAUCUCAUGAACUUGAACAACCCAUACAACACAUGGUAGUUAUGGACUUGAAAUCCUACACAUGAAGAAGUUCGAAUAGUAUAUUACUCCGCCUUACUCUAAAACUAUUUAGAGUCAAGCGGAUCAGAGUAAGAAUGCCUUUCUAGUUUGGUCAGGGACUAAACAACUUUCAUCUCAAAGCUGCACAAAUAGAGCAAUGAUGCCACUAUCAUUCUGUUUCAGAGCCACUGAUGUUGAAACUAAAUUCACGCACUGUUAUAUGUGGAAGAAGUGCUCAAACUCGACUACUUGUAAAACAAUAAACAACUGUGGGCAAGCCUAGGACCCAGGGGGUAUGUGUCGACCAAAAGCUCUCCAACGGUCAAGUUAGUAAACAAUUUUAGACUCAGGCAGUGGGCAAGAGAAUUCAAGUGUUUUGGUUGCGUUACUAGAGAUAAACCCUAGACCGGUGUAAAUCCUUGUUCUAAGUUGAGAGAAUUCUAAAGGAUAUCUAGAAGUAGAUAUUGCACCCUUUUAGGAUGUAUGAUUACUUGUGAUGCACGCCAAUUUCUAAAUUGUAAGAACUCUAAGACUUAAUGGAUCUGAUUGUGUCCAUAUCCGGAUCAAAUCGAGUGUGUUGCGGAAUAAGCAUGGCCAUCCAGCAGAGUUGCUAGGAUUUCACCUAUUGCCCCGGAAUAAAGUGAUGGUGGCACUACUACUACGUCUGAUCCAGCUUCGCCCAGAGCCGGUGAGUCCAUGACCGGACUUCCAAGGCAACUACAUUCAGAUCAGCCUUACUCUGGCCCUGGAAAAUCAUGGACCAACAAUUGCCCCCAACUAUGCAUCUAAGAGGCAACUUGUUCCCUUUGAGGAUGGAUUGUUACCCAAGGUCAUGCCUUUCGGAGUAAGCUUGAAUACAAACUGUUUAGUUUUCUACUUUUGUGUUGAUCUGACCUUUGGCGUUAAAAUGGGGCUAUUGAUUCACUUUGGUUUCUAUCACACAACCCCUAGAAUCGUGCAAAAUCAACUGUAAUGAUGACAAAUGCCUCCAUUUCGUGUACACGUUUCACAAAAACCAAUCACAUGUUUCUUUAAGUGGUUUCGAUCUUAUACGCAUCAAGUCCCAAUACUAAAGACUUUCACAUUCAACGGCGAGAUCCUUUAGUGACUUACUUUAAAUAGCUGCUUCCCAUUUGAGAUUUCUAGUCAUUUUCACUUUCACACCAUGGAACCUCUGCAUUCUAACCAAAGUUUUCUUUCCACACUCAGUUUCCUCUCUGAUCUUUUGAUGUUUGAAAUCCUUCAACCAAAAACCUUCUUUUUUUUUUUCUCAACAAUCUCUGCCAAACGAAGCUAAGUAAUACCCAAUUUAGCCAUAAUUUCAUGCUAAUAGCCUUUGCUUUUUGAGAUUUGUUCCAUAACAUUCACCCCUCGUAGUACCCUUCAUGCAGUCCUUGCAUAUGGGUGGAAUCCUAAUAACUUGUUGAGAUUCAUUAGGGGGUUCUUCGUCACUGCUUUCUUCCUCAUCCUUCAUUUGUGGAUGAUGACGUGGGGUAUCUCUAUCAGAAUACUCGUCCUUAAUAUAGUAUCUUGCUCGGAAUACAACAAGAUGGGCAUAGUACACAAUUGGUCUUACAGUAAAAACUCCAUUAGAGUCAAGGAUUCUAGCCAAGUAGCCUUCAAAAAUUUCUUUUGCCAGGGGUGAAGGCUUGUCACCCCAAAAUUGUAGUAUCUAUUUGAGCCCUUUUACUCGGACUUUGAUAAUAAACAUGUGUUUGUGCUUAGACCCGACAGUUUCUGACACAACACGAAAACGACACGAAAAUAACAAGUUUCGGGUCAACACAAUAACUAAUCAGGUCAUUAUCGAGUGACCCAUUAAGAACCCGUUAAUAGCAUGUUCUUAACGAGUAUACACGCGGGUAACACGUGAGUAACCCGUUUCGACCCGUUAAGAAAAAAAAUAUUUUGAUAAUUUUAAAUUUUAAUUACUAAAAGAUUUAUUAUAAAAUACAAUAGCCAUAUUAAUAUAUACAAUAUAUUCUAUAUUAAAUAUAUAGUUUUGUAUUAUUAUUGUUCUAUAUAAGUUAAAAAAAAGUUUUAGUCAUUAUUUAUUUUUAUUAUGAGAGUUCCUUAUUAUCAUUAUUAGGAUAAAUUUUACUUAACAUGUUGUUGUCUAAAAUUAAAAUAAACUAGUAUAGUAUUUGUGUAGGCAAGAACUAAGAAGACAUACAUACAAGUAUGAAAAAUGUGAAAGAAUCAGUGAAGAAAAUAUCGAUAAUAUCGACGAAAUAUCGCCGAUAUUAUCGUUUUUUUGGGACCCCGAUAUUUUAUUAACUAUCCAACUUGUUUUCGGAAAAAUAUAUCGAUAAUAUCGCGAUAUUUUCGAAACUAUCGCGAUAUUUUGUAUUGGCUAAAUCGGAGAACAAAGCCGGAGCAAAUAGGGUUUCAGUACAAAGCCGAAUCCCUAAAUCCCCAAAUUCUAAUUCAAAGCAAAUGAACUGAAUCCCUAAUUCCUAAAUCCCUAAAAUCGAUUUCAGUACAAAAAUCAACAUGCAGAAAAAUCGCAAUCUGUACAAAAUUGUAAUUUACAAGCCGAGAAGAAUGCCGGAGCAAAUUAACCGAAUCCCUAAAUCCCCAAAUUCGAUUUCAAAGCAAAUGAACUGAAUCCCUAAUUCCUAAAUCCCUAAAAUCGAUUUCAGUACAAAAAUCAAGCAACAUGCAGAAAAAUCGCAAUCUGUACAAAAAUUGUAAUUUACAAGCCGAGAAGAACGCCGGAGCAAAUUAACCGAAUCCCUAAAUCCCCAAAUUCGAAAUCAAAGCAAAUGAACUGAAUCCCUAAUUCCUAAAUCCCUAAAAUCGAUUUCAGUACAAAAAUCAAGCAACAUGCAGAAAAAUUGAAAUCUGUACAAAAAUUAAAAUUAAAAGCCGAGAAGAAGAGAAGUAGGAGCCUGGGAACGUCGUCUUCCUCACGAAUCCAAGACGGUUGGGACAACGUCGUGCUCCUCAGUGGUGUCGACGGCUGGGACUACGAUGAAUUCCGGUCCAUCUCCAUGGAACAAGGUGGUUUAGAAGGCGGUUAUCGAGUGGUGUCGACGGCUGGGUUUAGGGCGGGUGAGAUGGGAGGAGCAAAGGGAGACACGGACGAGGAGGAUCGAGAUUCGAGAGAUGAGUCUGUGUGUGUGUGUGGAAGAACUGGAGAAGGGGGAAGGGAGGGAGAAGACUGAGAACGAAGACUCAGAGAGAGAAGAGAGAGAAGAGAGAGAUUGAGACGAUUCGAGAAAGGAAUGAAUGAUCGAGACUCUCUGAGCUCCGUGUGUGGUGUGCGUGUGUGGUGUGGUGUGGGGGGUCUCGAAGUGUGUGUGUGGUGGAGUGUGAGUUCUUCACUGUUUUUGACUGUCUGUGUGGUGGCGUGUAAGAAAAAAAAAGGAUCCAAUGAUCCAAAUAAUUCAAAACCAAAUAAUUCAAAACCUAUCUCUAGCUCUCUGAUACAAUGAUCCAAAUAACUUUUUUGCAAUUUCAGAGCAUGGACAACAAAUAAUACUGCUUUCAUAAUGAAAUCGUGUGACAGUCAGUAAGAUUCUUUCACAUGUAAAACAGUGUCAGUGUGUCAAUGUCUGUUAUAUACUUACAUUCUUUCACCUUAUCAGAGGUGGAGUAUCAGAGGCAUUCACAGAAUUUUCGUUUCUUCUUCUUCCCAUACCAUUUUCAAAACCAUUCCAGAUCCAUUCCAAAGCUUGAACACAAAGGGUUCCAUAUUUAAGGUAAGUUUACAAACUUAAAUUUAUAUUAUUGUAAUUUAUACAACAACAAAUAAAUUUGUGUGGACUCGUAUGUUAAUUUUUUUAAGUAAUUAAUACUUGCAUGUUAAUUUUUGUAAGUAAUUAAGUAAUGUUAACAAUUACAUGUUAAUUUUUUUAAGUAAUUAAGUAAUGUUGUAUAAUUAUUCCCUAGGAUAAUUUUAAUAUGUUUAAUGUUAUUUAUUAUUUUAUUUCCCUUACCAUUUUCAAAGUCAUUCCAGAUCCAUUCCAAAGCUUGAACACAAAGGGUUCCAUAUUUAAGGUAAGUUUACAAACUUAAAUUUAUAUUAUUGUAAUUUAUACAACAACAAAUAAAUUUGUGUGGACUCGUAUGUUAAUCUUUUUAAGUAAUUAAUACUUGCAUGUUAAUUUUUGUAAGUAAUUAAGUAAUGUUAACCAUUACAUGUUAAUUUUUUUAAGUAAUUAAGUAAUGUUGUAUAAUUAUUCCCUAGGAUCAUUUUAAUAUGUUUAAUAUUAUUUAUUAUUUUAUUUCCCUUACCAUUUUCAUUAUCAAAUUGGAUUAUUAUUCAUUAAUAUUAGGUUUUUUUAUUAUCAAAUUGGAUUAUUAUUCUUUUAUAUUAGGAUUAUUUUUUUAUCAAAUUGGUGGAUUAUUCAUUAAAUUGGAUUAUUAUCAAAUUGGAUUAUUAUUCAUUAAAUUGGAUUAUUAUCAAAUUGGAUUAUUAUUCAUCACUAUGUUUUAUAUUAGGAUUAUUUUUUUAUCAAAUUGGAUUAUUAUUCAUUAAAUUGGAUUAUUAUCAAAUUGGUGGAUUAUUCAUUAAAUUGGAUUAUUAUCAAAUUGGAUUAUUAUUCAUCACCAUGUUUUAUAUUAGGAUUUUUUUUUUAUCAAAUUGGUGGAUUAUUCAUUAAAUUGGAUUAUUAUCAAAUUGGAUUAUUAUUCAUCACCAUGUUUUAUAUUAGGAUUUUUUUUUAUCAAAUUGGUGGAUUAUUCAUUAAAUUGGAUUAUUAUCAAAUUGGAUUAUUAUUCAUUAUAUUGGAUUAUUAUCAAAUUGGAUUAUUAUUCAUCACCAUGUUUUAUAUUAGGAUUUUUUUUAUCAAAUUGGUGGAUUAUUCAUUAAAUUGGAUUAUUAUCAAAUUGGUGGAUUAUUCAUUAAAUUGGAUUAUUAUCAAAUUGGAUUAUUAUUCAUCACUAUGUUUUAUAUUAGGAUUUUUGUUUUAUCAAAUUGGUGGAUUAUUCAUUAAAUUGGAUUAUUAUCAAAUUGGAUUAUUAUUCAUCACCAUGUUUUAUAUUAGGAUUUUUUUUUAUUCAAAUUGGUGGAUUAUUCAUUAAAUUGGAUUAUUAUCAAAUUGGAUUAUUAUUCAUUAUAUUGGAUUAUUAUCAAAUUGGAUUAUUAUUCAUCACCAUGUUUUAUAUUAGGAUUAUUUUUUUUAUCAAAUUGGUGGAUUAUUCAUUAAAUUGGAUUAUUAUCAAAUUGGUGGAUUAUUCAUUAAAUUGGAUUAUUAUCAAAUUGGAUUAUUAUUCAUUAUAUUGGAUUAUUAUCAAAUUGGAUUAUUUUUCAUCACCAUGUUUUAUAUUAGGAUUAUUUUUUUAUCAAAUUGGUGGAUUAUUCAUUAAAUUGGAUUAUUAUCAAAUUGGUGGAUUAUUAUCAAAUUGGAUUAUUAUUCAUUAAAUUGGAUUAUUAUCAAAUUGGAUUAUUAUUCAUCACCAUGUUUUAUAUUAGGAUUUUGUUUUUAUCAAAUUGGAUUAUUAUUCAUUAAAUUGAAUUAUAAUCAAAUUGGAUUAUUAUUCAUUAAUAUUAGGUUUUAUUAUUCCAUAUUAUUUGUAUAAUUACUUAAAUUUUUACAAUCAUUUUCUUUACUUUGUAUUUAAUUCUUCUGUAGAAUAACUUUAUUAUUUAGGUUCUCUUAUUUUAUAAAAAAAUAAUUGUCUAAUUUUCAUGAAAAAUAAAUAUAGGUACGUUUAAGAUGUCCAGUAAACGUGAUCCAGCUUGGGAACAUGGAGACCCAAUAGACGGAAACAAACAUGGCACAAUUUGCAAAUAUUGUGGUCAGGUAAUGAAGAGUGGCGGAGUGACACGACUGAAGUAUCAUCUUAGUGGAUUAGAUCCAUCAAAAAAUGUCCAACGAUGCGAUAAUGUCCCCCCAGAAGUGAAGGCAUUCAUCAGCACAUUAUUAAAAAAAAACAGCAGAAGGAAAAGAUAACACAGGGAAUGGAAAAUAUUUGAGCUGGGCUACGGGGAGAAGUCUAUGGCCAAGCGGUUGACAGUGAUGAUGAUGACGAUGAGGACGAAUGUGAUGAUGACAUGGGACCUGAAGAACGACGCAGUUUGAAACAAGCAUUACGUGCCUCCAAACAGUCAGCAUGGGAAAGAGAACACCUUCAUAAAAUUCCUAAUAGGGGACAAGGUUCCGGGACAAGUGGUGGUGCACAAAUGAGACGGGGAGGCAGUCUUAGAGAAUCACAACCAACACCACCAAUAGCCCCAAGUUUAUAUAAGUCAUCCAACGCACGUCAAAAGAGUGUUUGGAGUUAUUUCAAGGGAGGUAAUGUGAAGGAGGGAAUGGGGCGUCUAAUUAGCAAGUUCUUUAUCUAUGAAAAUGUCCCUGCUGCGAAGGCAUCAUCACAUCAUUUCAAAAAUAUGGUAGUGGGAUGUCAACAGGCCAGUGUUGGAGUACAACCUCCCACUCCCUAUGAGAUAAGAAACAAAUAUUUGGAUAUGGAGUAUAAAGACAUUGGCGAGUAUGUUAACAAGUUGAGGUCAAAGUGGGAAACUAAUGGUUGCACAAUCAUGUGUGACGGAUGGACCGGCCCGACCAGAUUAUCUAUCAUCAACUUCAUGGUAUACUCCAAGGGAAAGACAAUUUUUUUGAAGUCUGUUGAUGCUUCAGACCAUAUAAAGAAUUACAAGUAUAUUUACAAAUUAUUGAGGGAUGUAAUCAUGGAGGUGGGAGAGCAUAAUGUUGUCCAAGUCGUGACCGACAACGGUUCUGCAUUUGUCAAAGCUGGAAAAAAAUUAAUGAAGCAUCAUAAUGUGUUUUGGACAUCAUGUGCAGCACAUUGUAUUGAUCUCAUGUUUGAGGUAAUGGGGAAGAGAGAGAAUGUUGCUACUGUGGUCAAAAGAGCUAGAACGAUCACAAAUUAUAUUUACAAUCACGGUUGGUUGUUGGCAAAGAUGCGUGAAUUUUGCAAAGGAGAAAUUAUUCGUCCAGCUACCACUCGAUUCGCCACCAACUAUAUUGCAUUAAACAGCCUACUCAAGAAGAAAGCAGGGUUGAAGCAACUAUUCACUAGUGACGAUUGGGCCAACCACAAUUUCAGCCGCUCAAAUACAGGUCGUAUGGUGGAAAGUAUAGUACUUGAUCAUGCUUUUUUGGACUCAAACAGAACAUGUGUGUCAAGUGUUUGAACCUCUUUACAAAGUUUUACGGAUCGUUGACACAGAAGUGUAUCCUACUAUGGGGGCAGUAUAUGAGUUGAUGCGUGUAGUGAAGGAUGAAUUGGAAAGAAAACAUGGUGCAAGGUGGGUCAUAAAAAUAAUUGAAGACCGAUGGUAUAAAACAUUAUACCACGAUUUGCAUGCAGCAGGUAUAAAUUAUGUCAUAAUUUGCAAUUCAUUUCUUUAGUUGCAUAAGUAUUAUUUCUCUUAUUAGAGUAUGUGUUUCUUUGAACAGCAUAUUAUUUGAAUCCCCGAUACCAAUACAGACUCGGUGUUGGAGAUGAUGGUAACCUUAUACGUGUUGUACAUAAUGUAUACUCUAAAUUAGACCCUGUAUCACCAGCAGUUGGCCAAUUUGGAAAUGAGAUACACAAUUACUUAAAUUAUAAUAAUUACUUUGUUGGAUUAAACUAACACAAUUUAUUGUAUUCAGCUAACAUGGUUUAAAGAUGCAAGAAGAACAUUUGGAGAACUAACAUCAGUUGCUGCUCGAACAAAUAUGUCUCCUAGUGAGUAUAAACAUAUUUCACUAUAAGUUUAUAAUAGAAUUUGUUGGAGUUAUUAGGCUUAUCAACAUUAUUUUUCAUUGUAGCUGAAUGGUGGAUCAUGUAUGGGACCGAUGCACCAACUGUGAGAAAGUUAGCAAUUAAAGUAUUAUCACAAACAGCUUCCUCAUCUGCUUGUGAAAGAAAUUGGAGCACAUUUGCACUCAUACACACAAAGCAAAGAAAUAAGUUGGCUCAUAGUAGCUUGGAAAAAUUAGUUUAUUGCUACUACAACAUGAAGCUUCAAAUUCGAGAUAAGGAAGUAGAAAUCGAUCAUGUCGACCGUGGUGACCCACUAGAUGUGUUUGAUAUUGUUGGUGAAGAUGAUGAUACGGAGGGUAACCAACUUUUUCAAUGGAUUAGACCUCUUCAUUUAGAUGAUGAUGAAGGCAACCCAGCUCCCAGAGUUGCUGAAGAAGCACGUAAUGAAGGGAUAAAUGUAGAGAAAGAGUAUUAGAGGAGGAGGUGGGAUCUAGCAGCUCUGACUCUUUCGAAGAACUUUUGCACCCAAGACCAAGAAACACUGGAAUUCCACCUUCUUCCAAUCCUACACAACCACAACAUCGUGCUGAUACUAAUGAUAGCUCUAGUACAAGAUCAGGAGACUCACCUACCACCGGAGGUGGGAAUGAUGAAGGACAUAGUGGAGCUGGAGGGUAGUGGUGGUGGAUAUGGAAACUAUUAUGGACCACCACCUCCCGGAUAUAUGAGCCCCUUCACUGGUGAGGCAAACUUCACGCAUGCAACACAGGAUGAUGACCAUGGCAGUAGGCGGGCAGGACCAGGAAUUUGUGCCAUAGGGAAGGACUAUAUUCGCAGAGAAAGAGGCAAGGGGAUUUUGUCAAGUCAAGAAGAUGACUCGUUAUCUAGAACUUCAGACUCUGUUGGAUUGGGAAGUAGUAACUAUGGUUAUACUCAUAACCAACCAUUUCCCUACCCUUCAUAUCCCAUUCCUGUUGGGAUGGAAUCGAGCGACUCAUGGAAACAAUCCCAGCCUCAAUCUUCAAAUGAUUUUUCUUAUGGACAACCUCAACCAAUCUCGGAUCCAUAUGGGUGGUAUAUUAACAAUUACAUGCAAAACUAUUUUGGGGAUUUAUCAUUUGAUAACUACUCUUCACAAUACACUCAUUCUACACAUAGAGAUGAUGAAGAUAGUGAAAAAUUUGAACCUCAUAGGAACUCUAUGUGGUACUAAAGUGUAAAAUAUUGUACUAAUUCAUUAUAUAUAAAUGAUUAUGGUGUGUUUAGACUUCUUUCAUUAAUUACUACAUAUUUUCUACACUCACAAUAUUUGUCAGAUCGCUAUGUAAUCAACUUGAUAAUGUUAAAUCCAUCAUGCAAUGCAUUUCCUUCCAAUUUUUUGUGAUAAAUUAAUAGAUAAUUGACUAAAUAAACAUCCUACAAAGUUUCAAUAAAAAUUUCCAAGUUUUUCUUACAAUUUCCGUGGUUUCCAUGUAAUUUUUAUCGAUAUCGAUAUUUACCGAUAUUUCCAUCGAUAUUUCCGUGUUUUCGGACUACCGAUAUUUCCGAUAUUACCGAUAUCUUCUUCCUUGGAAAGAAUAUAUAAACAUUUGUGAUUCAUCAUUAUAACUCCACGAGUAGAUAAUGGUUACACUUACAUUAUCAAUUAGAUUUUUAAAAUCCUCCGAACCCUCAUGAAUAAUGUUUUUUAUUUGAGGGCAAAAUCAAUAAUAACUAUUGUAGAAGUGUAAAAAAAUGUAAAAAAAAAAUAUACAAUCACUCAUAAUGACAAGCUUUACAACUUUCAUGAAGGGGUCAGCUUCAAAAUCCAACACUAUAAUCCAUAAACCUUAAAUUUAUAUUUAACCAUCGAUUGUCAUUUACGUUUUAUUCUUCUUACUGAAUUUCAUUUUUAACAUUUUCUUUUUUGAAAACGUGAUCAUUUGGCGAAUGUAAGAAGAUGAAUGGUUCAGAUCUUUGAUAUCACGAUUUUGAUAUUUACGAUUAACUGAAAUAUGAGUUGAUGUCAUAUAGUUUGUAGAAACUUUAUAAACAUCAAGCAAUAUUUUCACUAACUGUAAAACUCUGAACAUAAUAUCAACGAUCCAAACCCUUCAUCUUCCUAUAUCCUCUAAUAGAUCAUGUUUUCAAAAAAGAAAAUCCAAAAAAAAAAAAAAUUGAUGAGAAAAAUGAAGCAUAAGUGUAAACAACAAUCAAUGGUUAAAUUUUUAUCUAUGAUUUAUAUGAUUAUAGUGGCGAAUUUCGAAGUUAAGCUCUUCACGAAAGUUGUAAAACUUGUCAUUACAAGCGUUUGUAUAUAUAUUUCUAUAUUUUUUUACACUUCUACAUUAAUUAAAAAACUAUUAAAUACUUUACUUAAAUAACAGCCGUAAGAUAAAUGAGAGUAAAUAUGUACCAUUGGAUUCUAUUUCACUUAAAUAACAGCCGUAAGAUAAAUAAGUAUGUAUAUUCUUAUUUAGUAUUAUGUUUUUCAUUUGAUUAUAUAUUGGUUUAAAAUAUAUUUUCCUUAACGGGUAACGGGUCGGAUCAUAUUAUCUGUUAAUAUUAUCAGGUCGGGUCAUUUUACCCGUUUAUUUUAACGGGUGUUACACUACACAACCUGUUAAGAUAUCGAGUAUGACACGAACACAGAAAAUACGACACGAAUGCCAGGUCUACUUGUGCGAACUUUUUACUUGUCUUGCAUCUUCUUAUUUAAAUCCGAUAAAAUCUUUCCAAAGUAAACGAAUUUUUAGAAAUAAAAUAAGCAACGGAGCAAAAUACAAGUAAGCUUGUGGAUCUGGUCUCAAAAGCCCCAUCGAUAAUGAUGAUUCGGAGAAACAUUACCUUCCAAACUUAGCAUCCAUAAAGUAUUCUCAUUGAGAUAUCCGGAGUACCACCUUACUCCGGUAUCAAAGAUAAAACAUUAAACCCAUGAAGAAUCUUUCGCUCUAUGCUUAUCAAUACAUUUAUCAAUUUAAGAAUUUCAAACCAUAUUUGAAACAACCUGCAAGAAACAAACCAAUAAAAAAAAUUUACCUUGGCCCAAUUCUUGGAUCAAGGUUUUCAAUACUUGCAAUGUAGUACUAGGAAGGGAUUUCUUUCCUAGAGACUGGAUCGCGUGCCAAUAUCUAGUGAAGCUUAAACAAAAGUUUUAUGGAGACUUGGUUAUCGACAUGUGGGUCGAAAGCACUUUUUGAAUCCUUUUGUCAGACCCUAUGCAUCGAACCUGAGCAUUUUCGAUUGGACUACCUUGACUGGCUUAGUCAGAGCAUAUCAGAGCUCCAUUGGAAUAAAAUUCCUCUUAGGGAUUUCCUUGUCUGGAUGCCCCCUUUAGACUUACUAACAUACAAUGUUGCAGAAUAUACUUGACCUAGUACGUUGGUCCAGGAUAGAAGUAGUCGUACUCAGGGUCGGAGUUCAAAGCCACCUUCGGAUGAUUUUUGGAUCGGCCCCUUUCAAAUAUUCCCUUAAAUGGCAUAGAGCCCAGGUUUGAAUGUUAUAACCCAUAACUUUGCUAGUUGUAUAAACUUUCAGGGUGCCGGAGGCAGGACUGGCCCUAAGGGGGUGCCAGGGGUGAGACCGCACAGAGCCCCCGAUUUUUUAGAGGCCCCUGAAUUUAAUAACCUUUAUAAUGUACACAUAUAGAUAGAGUAUGUUGGCAACGUUGCCUUAGAGGAGUUGUCAAGCGCUGAUUCUUACAUUUAAUUGUGCACGGGUUCAACUCCAUGUGGAAUAAUUUUGGGCCUUUUUGAUCUACAUUAUUUUUUUUUUAAAUAUUUGUUAAUUUCUAUCAUUUUAAAAGAUAACUUUUGAAAUAAAUCUAUAUUUAGGAAUAUCAUAAUUAAUUAAAAUCCUACAAAGUUUGAAGAUAUAAUCUUUAAAAGGCCCCCUUUCCAUCCAUGACAUCAUUUAAUUGAAUACAUAUCAUUCGUUUACUUUUGGUCACCAUUUAAGCAUCAUCUAUUUUCAUUCCAUUUGAAGAUCAUUUAGUCAUCCAUAAAAAAUAAAACAAUUAUAGUACAACUUUGCUCACAACACUAAAGUGUAGGUGAGCAGGUGAUACUCGCACCGAAUUGAUUACCGUUAGAUUAAUUUGGUUUAAUUGAUUUAAGAUACGAAUCUCAAAUUUUAACUAAUCUAACGACAAUUAACCAAGCGAGGGUUAGAAUCAUCCUCACUUUAGGGCGAGAAAAAAAAAUGCAAUAAAAAACUAAUAGUUCAUUAUAAGAUGCUAGAAAUAUCAUAACUAGUGAUUUGUUUAGCUGUUGAUAAUAAAGAGCAUAAGUGGUUCUGAUUAUGAUAUAUGUACCGUGAUAUGAUAGGUACAAAGCCACCACACAUGCUUUUUGUAUUUAAAAAGUAAGGAAUUUCAAACCCAAAAACAUAGGGAAUGCAUACAGGUACAUAGCCACCAAACUAUGCUUCUUUUUUAUUUAUUUUCUUUUGCGUUUUUACCAAUUUAUACACUAGAAGAAAAAAUAUAUAAAUUAUAAAUGAAGAUAUAGCAACCAAAAUUUAGACCAUGUAAGGGCCUCUGUUUGAGUCUCCCAUAUGGCCUCCAAAAUCUUAGGACCGCCCUGGCCAGAGGGUGUACUGAACUUAUAGGUUAGGGGCUCAUGUGUCCGUACUCGUAGCCUGCCAACCAUUGCCGCGCAUAUUACAGUUUGAGUCUCCCAAGCUGCUAACCGUUUAUCAUGGGAUGGGCUAAGAAAGACUCCUUUAACAGUGCUACUUUGAAUUUUAAACUUGCAUUCAUGCGCGAAGUUUUCAAAUUUUAUGCUUUGUUCAAAGAGUGUGGGGUAUUCCCUACAUCACUAAAAAGAGUAAGGAAAGAACAUAUAAGAUAAAUAAAGUUUUUAUGGCAAAAAAAUAGGUUUGAUUCACAAGGGGGUGUGAUGAAUCUGAGAAGGAUUGCCUAUAUAUCUUCAGGAAGGAGAAUCAAAUCGGUGUAUUUCUAAGAAAAAGAUGAUAUAAUGUAAAUGUUGGAACCAAAUAUGCUCUGUUAGCGGUGGUUGAGCACAAAUCCAAGUAAUCCUUAACAAUCUGCAAAACAGUAAAACAACUGUAAGCAAACCUUAGGCUAGGGGGGAAUGUGCUGGCCAAAGGCUAUUCGAUGGUCAAGGUAGUGAAUGAUCUUUAAACUCAAGCAAUGGGCAAGAGAAUUAGAGUGUAAAGAUUGCGUUACCAUAUAUGAACCCUAGAUGGGUGUAUUUAUACUGUUGGAGUUUGAUUACUUGUGGCGCACGCCUAUCCUUAGAUUGUAUAGAUUCCAAGACUUAUAGGAUUUGAUUGUGUCCAUAUCCAGAUCAGAUGACUUGUUUUGCGGAACAAGCAUGGUCAUCCAACGAAGUCGCUAGGAGUGAAAGAUUUUAUAGUGUUUUUUAGGCUUUACGAAGUGAAGCCUCUCCCCUAAGAUUUUGAAUGAAUUCCCUUAAACUCACAUGAAGUCUAUGAAUCCUUAUUAAACUUCAUGCAUUUAUAACUCUUUUAAAGUCCUCAAAAAACUCAAUAAAAUACACCUCCUAAAGGACACUUAGAUAAAGAUAAAGAUAAAGAUUAAAAAGUUAAAAGAAAUUGAAACUAAGAAGGAAAAAUAGAAAAGCAUCUUAAAAAGGAGAAAUUGACUAAUUAGUCAUUGAAAAAAGACCGAAUUCAGAUGAUUAAAAUUCUAAAAGAGAAUCGGUAAAUAAGAAAAAAAAAACUCCUUAGAUUACAUGUGCAUAUGAUUCAAAAUUGGUAAGCAAAAUGCCAUGUGGGAUCCAUGCACUAAAGGAGGGAUAUGUACAUUUAUUUUUGUUUGACUAAGAUGCUUCACUAAAACACCAUAAGAAGGUACAAUGGACAACUCAAAAUGGUCCAUUCGAAACACAAACAUAAAAGCUUCAUCAAAAGAUAUUGUUGCAUCAAAACUAUCACAAACAGUGGCAAAGUCAGGAAUUGUCUGGAAGAGCGGUGAAAUUUAAAAGGGUAAAAGGUCCUAAAAAUAUUUAGACAACCAAUUUCUUUUAGAUAGUAGAUAAUAUUAAUUCAUUCAUAUUUUAUCAAUAAAAACAAUUUACAACUGUUGUCGCGUGAGGUUUCAUAUCAUGAAACCGUGGCAUAAUAGGCUCAUUACCAAUAAAAGCAAAAACAUCUAUCUCAAUAUAAACAACCAUGCCUUUACUUAAGCAUUGAUCUCUCAUGUUGUUACGCAGUUGUUUUUCACAAUAUUUGAGGUUUUUAAUAAAAUUUUUGUUGAAAACUUUUGAUAAUAGUUCAAAAUAAUAAUAAAAAAGAAGGAAAAAAAAUAGAAGUGGCUUGCAUCUGUAACAUUGUUAGCCACAACAAAAAUAAAACUUUGCGUUUCAACUUAAAUAGCUGUAAAUCCAAGAACCGUCACCUUUUUCUUCCUUCAAGUUUCAACUCCUUUAAACCAUUGCCUUAUGCAACAGUCGCGACUUGCACCAGAAAUGCCAAUAUUUGGACUUAUUUCCAAGUAUUCACUGGCAAAACCGAUGCUAAACGGGCAUUCACUUAUAUCGGUGGGAUAGAUUUUCGCCUAUAGUAAAGAUAAAAAAAAAAAAAGCGCGUAGAGGAGCAAUAACAUUCUCUGCAGGUUCCGUGCAGUAAAGAGGAAUCAAGGGGGCAGAUUCUCCCUCUUAGGGUUGAUUUCUGACGACCUGAGAUGUGGCCACACCUCCUUUGGCCUCUGUUCACCAGCGAUCACAAAGCAAAACAAAAAAAAAAUCAUAAUCAUAGAAAGAUAUAAAAAGUUAAAAAUCAAGAAAAUUGACAAUAAAUUUGAUAAAUAUUGAUGAACUACAUUUCUUAGUUUGCACUAUAAGGUAUUAAAAUUGUAUCAAUUUAGCCUUAACUGAACUAAUUGUUAAACUUUCAUUAAAUAUAUCAAAUAGUGUGCGUAAAGCCUUUAUAUGGACUAAUGUAUAAGUCAUAUUGGCACUAGAUUGACAGACAAGAAAAAACUCUGAUUUAGAAGUGAAAAAAAUAUUAUUAGACUGGUUGCGGAAUGCCUGGCGUUGCAAGAUGGCAUGUGGUUGGCUAAGGCUAAAGGCUUGACUCGUAUUAUGGUGGAGGGUGAUUUAAAACUGGUGAUUGAGUCUAUUAGUGGAUCCUAUAACCCCCCUUGGAGAUUGAAGACCAUCCUAGAAUAUAUUCGGUGGCUUGCCGGGUCGUUUGAGGAAAUUUGCUGAAAGCAUGUCCUUAGGAAAGCAAAUUUUCUGACGGAUACUAUUACUAUAGUGGGUUAUUCGGUCUUUGAUUUUCAUGUUUGAGAUAGAACUCUUCCUUUAGAAGCCCAUCAGGCUUUCCUCUUUGAUUCUAUCCAAACCGGAUGCCCCAAUGGCUUUUCUCUUUAAUGCAGGCAUUUUUCUAUUAAAAAAACGAAAAAAUUAAAUAGGCGCAACCAAGCUUUGUAGGUUUUUGUUUUAUUUUAGGUUGCUUAGUAAGGUGGGUUAUACUCUAUACUCUAGGUACAGAGAGAGAAAAGGUGGAAAUAAUAAAUGAAUGGAAAGAAUGAAUAGUAAAAAGCAAAAAUAAUUAGAAAAGAGGACAAUGAACGGUAAUUAAAAUAAAAAUACGAAAGAGAGGGAUUAAAAAAAACAAGACCCAUUCGAUUUUGUGAUUUCUGAUCUCCUAAAAACCCUACCUUUUGACCACUUGACGGGUCGGUUUGUUACCACAACACACACUCUCUCUCUCCUCCCCCUUCCCCUUCCCCUUCUCUCUCUUACCAAAACACCGGAACACCAAAACAACUCUCCCUCUCUCUCUCUCUCUCUCUCUCUCUCUUCAAGUUUUUCUUUCAUUUCACUCUGCGCUUUCUCAUGGUUUCCCAAUAAAACCCUAAUCUUUCUCCUCACUCACUCUCCAGGUACUCCAAUCAAACCCUAAUCACUCUCUUAAUCACUCGCUUACGGUAAGAUUUUCGGAUAACUAGGUUUGAUUGAUUUGAUUUGGGGUUUGUGGAUCUGCGUGUUUGGUUGCAGAGAAAAGUUGAAGGAAAAAAAAAUUGGGAAUUAAGCGUAGGAAUAUAUGUCCUUCAAUCAAUCAAGGUCGGAUAAGAACGAGACGCAGUACCGGAAAACAGGGCGAACCGCAAGCUCUAAUCAGCAGCACAGGGGAUACACAACAUCUUACCCUAAGGGCACCGGCGCCGGUGGGCCCGGCCCUUCCAUCUCCUCCAACCGCAGGUGCAUAUAUAUAUAUAUAUAUAUGUAUAUCUCUGUGUGUCUAUCGUAUCUACUUAUUGCAUAUGUGUCUUUGUGUAGAGUUUGUUUCUGAUCAGUUUUACUUGACUUUGAAGUUUUAACAAUCCAUGCAAUUAUAUUGCUUUGAUUGUAAUUUCAAAUUUGGGUUUUUUUAAAUACGUUUUGGAAUUUUUGAGAUUGUUGGAAGUUAGGGUUUGAUGAUUUUUAUUUCAAAUAUUCAGUUAUAAGAAGAAUAAUAACAAUGCACAAGGAGGACAAUCCAGGGCAAGUGUAACCACUGUAAAUACUCAGGAUUCCGGUAUUGCUUUUGCACAACGUGGCGUUGUACAAAACGGAGCCCAUGCACAGCCCCAAUUGCAUGGUACAGAUUUCGAAGUUUCUGUUCUCUUUCAUUCUAGAAAUUUAUAUGAUAGUGUCGUGAUUGUUUUAAUAGACUUUUAUGGGCAGUUGAAGGAGUUUGGGAAUCUGAGAUAAAUGGUUUUUUUUUUAUUAAAUCUGUGUUGCCCAUUUUGUUUGAUUCUCAUUUCUUGGCAAUGUUUUCCUGUGAUUGAUCUGAUGUAGGAGGUUCUGAUGCACCUGUUGCAAGCACAGCUUCCCGUACAGCUGAAGCAUCAGCCUCUCAGAGAAGCUCCCGAACUGUUCCAAAACCUCCCACUUCUCAAUCUGCCUCCAUGACUUCUGACACAAGAACACCCACUACACCAGCGAAGCGUAAGUUCACACUCUGGACCAUGGAUUUUGUUGUACUCAAUGUUGGGGGAAUGUUGGCGUAUUUUCACUGUCAUAUAGUAAUGUUGUGAUGUCAAUGCUAGAUUCUCUUGGCAGUGUUAUCCCAAAUAGUUGAUUUAGUAAUGAUUUUAACGUGCUGAUAUAUGAUUUAUGAUAUAUUAGUAAAUGCCAAUAAUCAGGUUUUAACAUUUUCUGUUGGUUUUAGCCCCAGGAGAUGCGUCCAAGGGCUUUGCCUUUCAGUUUGGGUCUAUAAGCCCUGGCUUCAUGAAUGGGAUGCAGGUAUUGUUAUAUGCUAGCGAACUCUUGAUUAAAAUUCUCUAAUUUCCUGUAUUUCUAAGCGCUGAACAAAUUAUAGCAUGUUUUUAAAAGUGGAAAGUUGUGUUCCUUGUAGAUUCCUGCUCGAACCAGCUCAGCUCCCCCAAAUUUGGAUGAGCAGAAACGUGAUCAGGUUAGCUUGUUUUUCUUCUCUCUCAUCUUCCUGCCUUUUUUUACUGAAUAGUCUGAUUGGUUCAACUGCACAUGAUGUUUUUUGGCAGAAGUGUAUGUAUACAGUAGUUUUUGUCUUCCUAUUAUGUCCUUCUGUUUACUUGUUUCAUGAAAUAUUAUUCUUUGUAUAUGAAUUUAAAAAUGACUUAAUUUCAAUGAGUAAUUUGGUAUCAUUAUGCUUUUCAAUUUUGUUUAUUAAUUUGUGAAAUCACUAUGUCAUGCUUGAACAUGCAGGCGCGCCAUGAUUCUUUUAGAGUUGUGCCUUCAGUGCCAGUCCCUACUGUUCCUAAACAGCAGUUACCAAGGAAAGAUUCAGCGUCCAUUGAUCAACCUAAUGCUGCUGAGGUUCAUAUGGUACCCAAGGUUAAAAAGGAUGUGCAAGUCUCACAUGCACCCCCUCCUAGUCAAACUCAGAAACCUUCUCCUCAUCCAAUGGCUGGGAUGUCCAUGCCAAUGCCAUUUCAUCAGCCACAGGUUCCAGUGCAAUUUGGUGGCCCCAACCAGCAGAUCCAAUCUCAGAGUAUGAGUGCCAGUUCAAUUCAAAUGCCAAUGCCUAUGCAAUUAUCAAUUGGUAGUACUCAAGUACAGCAGCCAGUGUUUGUUCAAGGUCUCCAGCCCCAUCCAAUGCAGCCCCAGGGAAUUAUGCAUCAGGGCCAGAACAUGACUUUUACCCCCCAAAUGGGUCCUCAAAUACCUCAGAUGGGCAACUUGGGGAUCAGCAUGGCAUCACAAUACCCCCAACAACAGGGUAGGAAGUUUGGCGGCCCUCGUAAAACUCCUGUCAAGAUUACACAUCCAGAUACACAUGAAGAGUUGAGGCUUGAUAAAAGGACAGAUUCAUAUCCAGAUAGUGGGCCAUCAGCCCCCAGGACUCACCCAAACAUUCCUCCUCAAUCCCAGCCUAUUCCAUCAUUUGCCCAUCCUCAUACUACCACCUUUUAUGCCAAUUCUUACAAUCCCAGCUCCCUAUAUUAUCCUGCUCCAAGUUCUCAUCCCUUAACUAGUAGUCAUAUGCCGCCCAAUUCACAAGCACCGAGGUUCAGCUAUCCAGUCAGCCAGGGUUCCCAACCUGUACCUUUCAUUAAUCCGUCAUCUCAUAGUACCCUGCCUGUUAGCAAGUCUGGGUCCCUUAUGCACAAUGUGGUGGAUCCACCUAACCUGGAACAUGCACGUGAUGUACAUAAUAUAAGUGCCUCUGUUCCAUCAGCAACUAUUCCUGUUGUAAUUAAACCACCUGCUGGAACUGUUGGAGAGAAGGUUGUCGACCCAUUGCCAAACAGCUCAACUGUUGUUGAAAAGGGUGAAUUAUCAAAGCCUGUGAGACAAUCUGGAGAAAUUAUCCAAUCUGCAGGUGACCAAUCCAUCCUCAAAUCAUUGCCGGUGAUGGAAAAAAUAUCUGCAAAUGCACCUGCCACUGCUUCAGUUGAAAAACAGGUUUCAAAUCUUUUGUCCUCUUCUGCAGCUGCCCCAACUGAGGAGUCUGCACCAGUUGUGAUCAUCACUGAACCCAGAAAAAAAGAAACUCUUAGUCGGUCAAACUCAAUUAUAGAUCAGCAAAAGAAUCCAGGGAGGAAGGGAAAUGUUCAACCACAGCUUCAGGUACUUAUUUUCAGUAUUUUUAGAUAACCUUCUAGUUUCUUCUCUUUAACAGUAGCAUUUAAAUUUGUGUCAUCAUUUUACAUCCUUGAUGACAGGUUGUUGGGCAGUCUAGCUCUACAUCAAGCGUUCUGUCUCAGUCUGCAGAGCAUGGUAUACCUUCUACUAGUGAUGUUUCUGGCACUGUAGAAGCUAAUACAACUCUUGCUCCAGUAACUAGUGCAUCUGUUUCAAAGUCAGCGAAGGAACCACUGUCAGAUUUUAGUGCUCCUACUGCUGAUUGUUUGGAAUCAAAGACUGAAGUUAUUGGGCAAGGCACUAUUCCCAUCUCUUCUGAAAUAUCUGCUCCUGGGAUGGUUGUUGGUACUUCAGAUUCCGUUCAUCGUACUCAACUAGACAGUUCUUUACAACCAGAUGAACAAGGACAGCGUGACUUGAUGGGGGCAGAACAAAGUUUGUCUGGAAAUUACAAACAGGAUACUGAAGCUCAUGGUAUUUCUGCAGAAUCCAUCUCUGUAAAACCUCUGGAAUCUGCUAAAGUACCUGCAGAUCAUUCUGUUGUGAAGGAAACAGCUAAGGGAAGUACUGUUGCAAUCUCAGACACUGCACAAGGAGGGCAGGGCCAUUAUGAGUGUCUCCAUGCAGAAUCUGGUGGAAUGGAUGCCUCUUUAAGCAGAAGUGAUAGUAUGGGUGGUAGUGAAGUUUUUUUUUCAAAAUCUAACAAAUUAGAGCAGCAUUCUUCUUCUGUUCAAACUACCGAACUUUCGGGUAGAACUUCAAAAACUGAAACUGAAGGUACAUGUGAGGAGAAUAUUGGUGGUGGUGAGGGAAAUAUUGAGAAUAUUGGUAGUGGUGGGGAUUCUCGUUCAGAGUCAGACUUCAGGGACAAACCUGAACUGAAUAGAACUAAGAGUACUAUUUCAAAGGGGAAGAAGAAAAGAAAAGAAAUUCUUUCUAAGGCAGAUGCUGCUGGCGUGACCUCUGAUCUUUAUGGGGCAUACAAGAACCCUGAAGAAAAGAAGGGUAUUGAAAACACUGAAAGUAUUAUGACCAGUAUAAUUUCAAAGCAGGUAGCUACUGAUGCUCCUCAGCAAGAUGCUGUAGGGAGAGAGAAAGAUGCACCGGUUAAAGCUGAGCCAGAGGAUUGGGAAGACGCUGCUGACAUCUCUACCCUAAAACUGGAAACCUCAGAUACUGGAGAGCUGGUCUGUGGAGUGGAUGAUUCUGACAAAGAUGGACAUGAACAUGGGGCGAAGAAAUAUUCCAGAGAUUUCCUUAUGAAAUUUUCUGAGCAAUUUACUGAGCUUCCAGAAGGUUUUGAAAUUUUGUCUGAUAUAGCAGAGAUCUUGGAUGCUAAUGUGAAUGCUGCUACUUCUAUUGAUUAUGAUUCGCUCCCUAGUCCGGGAAGAAUUGUUGAUAGGCAAGGAGGGGCCGCUAGACUUGACCGUCGUGGGAGUGGAAUAAUGGAUGAUGAUAGAUGGAAUAAGGGAGGUGCUGCCAAUUUCCGAACUGGCCAAGGACCAAAUUUUGGUGUUUUGAGGAAUCCACGUGCACCGACAUCAGUUCAGCAGCAUGUUAGAGGGAUCCUGCCUGGGCCUGCUCACUCUGUUGGUCAUCAGGGAGGGAUGCAAAGAAAUAAUUCUGAUGCUGACAGGUGGCAGAGAGCUACAAAUUUUCAACCUAAGGGCUUGAUGCCUUCUCCUCAUACUCCAUUACAGGUGAUGCACAAAGCUGACAGGAAGUAU